UCAUAGAAUUUUUUCAAAUUCAUGAUGUCGUAAGGGAAAAUAAUGAUAGUACCUUACUAUGAGUGUCGUCCAAAUCUGGUGCCAGAAGACUCGGUAAGACCAGAGACGCAAACGUUAAUCAUCAUAAACAGGCGUAAAGGGUUUGUAGGCAGCUUUUAUAAGGUUAUGAUUGCAAAAAUAAAGGGUAAUCUAAAUUGAAAGCUAGAAUCAAAAAGAGGUUAUAGUGUAUAACGCCUAGAGGAGGGCUGAUAUCCAUAGAUCCUAGGCAGAAUACUCAGGGCGAAGGCCACUCUCCACUAAUGAUUGACGCUGAGAAACGAAGGUUAGGGUAGGAAAUAGGAUUAGAUACCCCGGUACUCCUUUCUGUAAACGAUGAAUGGUAGUCAUUAGUUAAAAUAACUAGAGGCGAAGUUAACACGAUAACCAUUCCGCCUUGUGAGUACUACUGCAAAGUAGAAAACAAAAAAAUUAGUCGGUCUCGAAGCAAACGGAGUGAAGCAUGUUAUUUA
rnacentral:rRNA from 1 species